GUGGGGUGCUAUACUGCAGUAGAACGCUGAAGAGAGGAGCUUGCUCUUCUUGGAUGAGUUGCGAACGGGUGAGUAACGCGUAGGUAACCUGCCUUGUAGCGGGGGAUAACUAUUGGAAACGAUAGCUAAUACCGCAUAACAAUGGAUGACACAUGUCAUUUAUUUGAAAGGGGCAAUUGCUCCACUACAAGAUGGACCUGCGUUGUAUUAGCUAGUAGGUGAGGUAAUGGCUCACCUAGGCGACGAUACAUAGCCGACCUGAGAGGGUGAUCGGCCACACUGGGACUGAGACACGGCCCAGACUCCUACGGGAGGCAGCAGUAGGGAAUCUUCGGCAAUGGGGGCAACCCUGACCGAGCAACGCCGCGUGAGUGAAGAAGGUUUUCGGAUCGUAAAGCUCUGUUGUAAGUCAAGAACGGGUGUGAGAGUGGAAAGUUCACACUGUGACGGUAGCUUACCAGAAAGGGACGGCUAACUACGUGCCAGCAGCCGCGGUAAUACGUAGGUCCCGAGCGUUGUCCGGAUUUAUUGGGCGUAAAGCGAGCGCAGGCGGUUUGAUAAGUCUGAAGUUAAAGGCUGUGGCUCAACCAUAGUUCGCUUUGGAAACUGUCAAACUUGAGUGCAGAAGGGGAGAGUGGAAUUCCAUGUGUAGCGGUGAAAUGCGUAGAUAUAUGGAGGAACACCGGUGGCGAAAGCGGCUCUCUGGUCUGUAACUGACGCUGAGGCUCGAAAGCGUGGGGAGCGAACAGGAUUAGAUACCCUGGUAGUCCACGCCGUAAACGAUGAGUGCUAGGUGUUGGAUCCUUUCCGGGAUUCAGUGCCGCAGCUAACGCAUUAAGCACUCCGCCUGGGGAGUACGACCGCAAGGUUGAAACUCAAAGGAAUUGACGGGGGCCCGCACAAGCGGUGGAGCAUGUGGUUUAAUUCGAAGCAACGCGAAGAACCUUACCAGGUCUUGACAUCCCGAUGCUAUUUCUAGAGAUAGAAAGUUACUUCGGUACAUCGGUGACAGGUGGUGCAUGGUUGUCGUCAGCUCGUGUCGUGAGAUGUUGGGUUAAGUCCCGCAACGAGCGCAACCCCUAUUGUUAGUUGCCAUCAUUCAGUUGGGCACUCUAGCGAGACUGCCGGUAAUAAACCGGAGGAAGGUGGGGAUGACGUCAAAUCAUCAUGCCCCUUAUGACCUGGGCUACACACGUGCUACAAUGGUUGGUACAACGAGUUGCGAGUCGGUGACGGCGAGCUAAUCUCUUAAAGCCAAUCUCAGUUCGGAUUGUAGGCUGCAACUCGCCUACAUGAAGUCGGAAUCGCUAGUAAUCGCGGAUCAGCACGCCGCGGUGAAUACGUUCCCGGGCCUUGUACACACCGCCCGUCACACCACGAGAGUUUGUAACACCCGAAGUCGGUGAGGUAACCUUUGGAGCCAGCGCUUUU
rnacentral:rRNA from 1 species